AGUCCUACUCUGCAACGUCGGACACUUUAAUAGUAACUGGGGAGCGAUUGCGUUCAGGGAGAUCGAGGACAAGUAUCCUGGCCAGAUCCUGACAUGUUUUCCCGGUAAGAGUUCUCUGCGGAGGCCACCUUUGGAGGACUCUGUAUAUUGAUGGAAGAGGGAACGCCGGAACCUAUCCCAAAAGUAUUGUCAUGGGAAUUAGGUGUGUGUGGGUUCCAGGAAGGGCGAGGACGGACGGCGCACUACCACAGUCCGAUGAAUGUUCUCAUCACCGACCUUUGGAGUUUUUCAGCAUGUUGGAUUUUUAAACAUGUUCAGGUUGGAAAAUUGAGAGUGUAAUGUUAACAGUAAAGUUUAACCUUUUAAGCUGGUGGAGGAAGUUCAGACCACACCUGAACUGGUACCUGAGAUGACAGCACUGAAUCUGAAGACAAAGAAGGAUCAAAUUAGAACUGACUAUUAUUAGUCACUACUUCAGAAAGUCUUUUUACCUUAUUUUGGUAUGUUUAGUUAUUACUAUGAUUUGUAUGACUUUUACAUGUGUUUGAAAAGUAACAGAAGCUAAAGGCCAUUGUACAACUGGGUAACAGUCCCGUUUUCGUUCUCUUGCAUUUGGUUUGCCAUUCUGUAGCUGUGACUCCAGCUUGCUUUAGUUGAGCCUUGUCAUUCUUCACUCUCUGCAAACCAUUCCACGGAUUUGUUUUUCUUCACAAAAUUAGUUUCAUUUUCUUUGUUUGAUUGAUGGUCAUUGGCUACUGAAAUAAAAUAUGCAUUUUAAGGU
rnacentral:lncRNA from 7 species